rnacentral:lncRNA from 1 species
AACAUCAAUCUGAAAUCCCGGUGAAUCAUUCCUCUCAGCCACCUGUUAGGCCAACAAGAGCAAUGGCCCCACUCCAGAACAUUGNNNNNNNNNNCACACGGCUAGACAUGCGUGCAUGCAAGAAAGUUUUCACCCACGUACGGCAUGGCGCCCGCGAAGCUCUCGUGGCCUCGCGCUCUCUUUGUGCAACGUCACCUAUUUAAAGCAAGGACCACCUUUAUAGACCUCCAAGGUGAAAACAUCAAUCUCACUGAAAUCCUGGUGAAUUAUUCCUCUUAGCCACCUGUUAGGCCAACAAGAGCAAUGGCCCCACUCCAGAACAUUGCGGUGGCACUAACCCUUCUCAUCGUCAUGGUGGAAAUCGCAUCAUUACCAAUGCUUGCAAGCGCCACCAUCGUCAAGUCCGAGGAGGCCGCGUUGGAUGAGCUAACACCCAUCAUCAAGACGGCCCUAGACGGGGUCCUCGCCGCCGCCCCACCAUCCGAAAGGAUCAAAGUAGCCGGGGCUGUUGCAAAGCAGGAACUCCUCGCUAUGGACACGN